rnacentral:rRNA from 1 species
GGCGAACGCUGGCGGCGUGCUUAACACAUGCAAGUCGAACGGAAAGGCCUGCUUUCCCUUGUGGAUUGCGGGUACUCGAGUGGCGAACGGGUGAGUAACACGUGAGUGAUCUGCCCCCAACUUGGGUAUAAGCCUGGGAAACUGGGUCUAAUUCCCGAUAGGACUGCAGGGUGGUGCCUGUGGUGGAAAACGAUUUUCUAGUGGUUGGGGAUGAGCUCGCGGCCUAUCAGCUUGUUGGUGGGGUAAUGGCCUACCAAGGCGGCGACGGGUAGCCGGCCUGAGAGGGUGGACGGCCACAUUGGGACUGAGAUACGGCCCAGACUCCGACGGGAGGCAGCAGUGGGGAAUAUUGCACAAUGGGCGGAAGCCUGAUGCAGCGACGCCGCGUGGGGGAUGACGGCCUUCGGGUUGUAAACUCCUUUCGACCGCGAGGAAGCCACCUGGUUGGAAGGGUGGUGACGGUAGUGGUAGAAGAAGCACCGGCUAACUACGUG